rnacentral:rRNA from 1 species
GAUGAACGCUGGCGGCGUGCCUAAUACAUGCAAGUCGAGCGAACGGACGAGAAGCUUGCUUCUCUGAUGUUAGCGGCGGACGGGUGAGUAACACGUGGAUAACCUACCUAUAAGACUGGGAUAACUUCGGGAAACCGUAGCUAAUACCGGAUAAUAUUUUGAACCGCAUGGUUCAAAAGUGAAAGACGGUCUUGCUGUCACUUAUAGAUGGGUCCGCGCUGCAUUAGCUAGUUGGUAAGGUAACGGCUUACCAAGGCAAGGAUCCAUAGCCGACCUGAGAGGAUGAUCAGCCAAACUGGGACUGAGACACGGCCGAGACUCCUACGGGAGGCAGCAGGGGGGAAUAUUGGACAAUGGGAGAAAGACUGAGCCAGCAAGGCCGCGUGAGUGAUGAAGGCCUUAGGGUUGUAAAGCUCUUUUACCCGGGAUGAUAAUGACAGUACCGGGAGAAUAAGCUCCGGCUAACUCCGUG